rnacentral:rRNA from 1 species
GCAACGAAUAUUCCGCAAUGGGCGAAAGCCUGACGGAGCGACGCCGCGUGUAGGAAUAAGUCCUUCGGGAUGUAAACUACCGUCAGGGGCUACCAAGUGACCGGAGUGAAUAAUUCCGGAAGUUGAGGAGCCCCAGAGGAAGCCACGGCUAACUUCGUGCCAGCAGCCGCGGUAAGACGAAGGUGGCAAGCGUUGUUCGGAAUCACUGGGCUUAAAGCGCACGUAGGCGGUUUAUCAAGCGUCUUGUGAAAUCCCCCGGCCCAACCGGGGAACUGCUGGGCGAACUGGUAAACUUGAGGCAGGUAGGGGCGCGUGGAACUCUUGGUGGAGCGGUGGAAUGCAUAGAUAUCAAGAGGAACGCCGGAGGCGAAGGCGACGCGCUGGGCCUGUCCUGACGCUGAGGUGCGAAAGCCAGGGGAGCAAACGGGAUUAGAUACCCCGGUAGUCC